AAUUGUCACCUGAAACAUCUUUGCACACAUAGGUACACAUAUAAACUUCAGGUAGAGAAUAAUACCAGCUUUCUUUGGCGUCCGAUUGUGUGUUUGACCUUUUUUUUUUUUUUUUUUUUUUAGACAGAGUCUCACUCUGUCACCUAGCCUGGAGUGCAGUGGACAAUCUUGGCCCAGUGCAACCUCUGUCUCCUGGUUUCAGGCAAUUCUCCUGCCUCAACCUCCCGAGAAGCUGGAACUACAGGCACCCACCACCAUACUCAGGAUUGCCUGUGUAUGGGAUGAAGACUGACCUGUACUUGCUCUUUCACAGAGUUUGCUGAAGAUUGCUGAAGGUAAGCAUCCAAUAAUGCUUUAAGAAAUAUUUCUCUGGCCACUGUAUUGGAAAUUUAAAUCAGGAUUCACAAAUACAAAUACAUAUAUAUGGGCCUAAUAGGCAAAAAGAAAAAGAAUCAGUGCUAUGUAUUGGAU
rnacentral:lncRNA from 1 species